GCAUUGAUGAUAAUCUUGAAAUGGUUGAAUUUCUAAUCGAACAUGGCGCUGAUAUAAACAGACAAGAUAAUGAAGGCUGGACGCCGCUGCAUGCCACCGCCUCAUGUGGCUUCGUGAGCAUAGCCCGCUAUUUGGUGGAGCAUGGCGCCGAUCCGGCCGCUGUAAAUAGCGACGGUGACUUGGCCGUGGACUUGGCUGUCGAUAUACAACAUUUGGCGAUGAUGGAUUUCAUGCAAAAGGUGAUGACUGAACACAAUAUCGACUGCGAGAAGGCGCGACAGGCGGAGGAGCAGCUAAUGCUGAGUGAUGCCAAGAAAUGGUUGCGCAGCGAUGCGUCCGAAGUGGAUCGGCCGCAUCCGAAAACAGGUGCCACAGCGCUGCACGUAGCCGCAGCAAAGGGCUAUACAAAGGUUAUAAGUUUACUACUCGCCGGUCGCGCUAAUGUUGAUAAACAGGACAAUGACGGCUGGACGCCGUUGCAUGCUGCAUCACAUUGGGGUCAAAAGGAGGCCGCCGAUAUGUUGGUCAAUGCCAUGGCCGAUAUGGAUAUACGCAAUUAUGCCGGUCAGACGUGCAUCGAUGUGGCCGAUCGUAAAAUGGCGAAAUUCUUGGAGGAAUUGCGUAGCACCAGCAACAAACGUGUCAAACGUCGUCCUUCUAGUCAAAUCAGAAUCUCAGAUAAAAUUGAAAAUCACAUUGAAAAUACGCCAACGAAAAUCAUACGAGUGGAAGUGAAAUCGGAUCAGUCAAAGGAUCAAGCGAAUGCUUCCAUAACCGAAAAUGAACUGCCAAUGAUUGAUAGUAGUGAUCAGCUGGAGCCUCAUAAUCUGGCGCGUAUAGCAGAGUAUGAUGAAACUGACUCUGAACUCACCGACUCAACAGAGAGCUCACACUCGACCAGCCUAUCUGAACCUGAAGAUGAGAAAUCAAAACAAUCGCAUGAAACUGUCAAACCAUCCGCCGUUGCUACAACAGACAACCAAACGGUUGAGGAUGAAGCGCCAUGGCGACGCAACAGCUUGGCAAGAGCGCGCACACAAAAUGAAAGUCCAACGAAAAUUCAAGUUCCUGAAAAAGAUGUUAGUAAAACUAACAACACCACAGAGACAUCAGAUGUUAUUUUAAGACGCACUCAGAGCUUCGAGCAUGAUGAGAAAACCAUUUCGACGAACACGUCGUCCACAUCGAUAACGGCGGCGUACACAACAAGCACACCAACAACAGCUGAUUCGACUACGUCAAUAACGACAACCGGCAGCACCACCACCACACCGUCGACAACUACAACUACAACACCGAUACGCAGAUCCUUUGUGCCACCCGUGCGUGACGAGGAGAGCGAAACCCAGCGCAAGGCACACGCCAAACGCGUGCGUGAGACGCGUCGCUCCACACAAGGUGUCACGUUGGACGAAAUCAAGAGCGCCGAAGAGUUGGUCAAGAAGAAAAACUCAAAUAUGAACAACAACAAUAACAGCAGCAGCAAUGAAACGCAAGUAGCCACAGCAAUAGCAGGAACAAUACCAACAACAUCCGAACAACAAGAAGUUGAAGCUAUUGAGCCGCCACACACGGAACCGUCAGUAGCUGCCACACAAACGCUGCCAACCACAGAAACGCCGCUCGCGUCGCAGAGCCAAAUCGCGGAUGGCGAUGAAACAACGAUCACAGAGCAACAAGCCAGUCGUGCAGAUUGCACGCCAGCAGAGGAGAGUGAUAGGGAGGAGGAGGAAGAGAAAGAGUGUGAUCAGCAGGAUGAUGAAGCUGCUGUGGACAAUGAUGGCGAGGAUGUUUCCGCCUCUUUCACAAUUGUGGCGCCAACUCGAAAGAAUUCUAGUACGAAGGCAACAAUGCUAGAUGAUACCACAACGGAUGAUGCCACAACCACCGAUGACAACGAUGAAGAGGUGAGUGCCACAUACACGUUGACACCGCGUCAUUCGUUUGUCGGCAGCGCUGCACCCACCGAAACUGUGGAAACGACGAUAGUGGUCACGCCACCGGAAAUCAUAAUCAAUGAAAGCGAUUUAGAUAGCGAAACGGUACGAAAAAAAGCCGAGACAUAUGAAAUGGAGGAUGAAAAUGUGCCUGAGAGUGCGAACCAGCUUGAGAUUGAUGUCGACGUUGAGAAUGAGAAUGCGGAUGAGUCAAGCGAGUCUGAACAGCAGAACGAGAACGAAGAGGCGACAGAAAUAGCAAAUUUAAUCAAGGUCGAAGAUGUGCAGGCCGUGCUAGAGGCGGACGAUGAAGAAGAAUUGCUAGAAGAGAAGGCGGUGGACGCCGAAGAGGAGGUGGAAUCAGAUGAUAGUGAAAUUGUUGAAAUUAACGAGUUUGAAAAUGAAAAGACUGAAAGCUCUGCCACCAAAGAGUUGGCUACUAAUGAAAUAAGCGCUCCUAAAUCACACAUAUCCACGGGCAACAGCUCAGUCGAGUUACCGUCAGUUACACAAACUGAACGUGCACGCCAUAACACAUUAAUUCCAUUGCCGCUGGUUGGCGUGGCGUCAACUAGUGUGGCGCAUGCCACAGAUGCUACACCGGCCACGCCCACCAGCACGAGCGCGAAUACGCCCACACUCGAAAGUCCUGUGCGCUUGCGCGACAAGCGUAUACCUUACGACCCGGACAGCAACAAUGCCUUAACGUUAGCCGAACGCCUACGUUACGAAGCGAGCAAAUACAGCGCUGUCGGCGAUAGUGACGAAUCGUCGUCAUCGUCGACGGUCGUUAGUAAAACACGUUCACUACCACCAGCGUCGCUGGCAAGUGAUGCCGAUGCCAUCAAUGAGCUAUCAACAAAUUACGGUAAAAUUUCACUCAGCAGUCGUCGCAGCUUGGACUCAUCCUCACUGUCAUUGCACGGCAACAACGAGAGCCAAGCGGCUCAGGCGUCAUCUAAUGACACCCAAACCUUACAAAGUGCUAUCAGUAGUAUUAGUAGUUGUAGUAGCGGUAGCGGUACAGCGUUUGUGGCAACUACAACAACAGCGACGGCGCCGAGCAGCAGCAACAGUAGCAAUAAUAGUACAAUGGCUGAGCGACGUCCUUCUUGGCGUUUGAAAUUCGAUGCUGGCUGUAAGUUCAAAUUGGAAGAUGCAUCGAGUGGGAAUACAUUUCCGCCAAAUAACAGCACAAUUAUACCGAGCGCGCCAGCUGUUAUUGCCGCUGCCAAUUUAUCGUCAACCAUAUCACAACGGCGCAUCAACAGUAAUUCAUUGAACUCGUCGAAUCAGUCGUUGAACUCAAUUGGACGACCUGUGUCCGCACCAGUCAAUGCCACCACAUCCACCACAUUACUCAGCAAUGAUACUCACAGCGAGGGUGUUAGCAUUUUCGGCCGACGACUCACCGGUGGCAGCACCAAUAGCACUUAUAGCAGCAGCGCCACAACCCCAGCAGCUACCACGACAACGUCUACUGCAUCCACAACAACAGCUAACGUCACAGCCGCCACGGCUAAUUCGGCGUCUAAAACUAACGACGAUAAAGAUAAUGACAAAGAAAAUGAUAACCGCAAUUUGGCAGCUCAAUCGGCUAUACAACGAAGAAGGAAACCAAAACGAAGAUCCACCGGCGUUGUGCAUAUCGAUAUGGAUGAGCUCGAUCCAGAGCGGCAAGAUUCAGCAAACGAUGCGGAAGAGAAAGAUAAGGAGAAAGAGAGUGGCGGUGAGCGCGGCGCAUCGCGUUCACGUUUGAGCAGCACCACUAAUGCCAACACCAACGCAAACUCCACGACAGACGAGAAUAAAGCACGUGAUAGGUCAGAGAAUGGCGAAGCCAUCGACUACAAGGCUCUAUGGGAGGCUGUAAAAUUGGAGAAUGACAAGCUCAAGCAGCAGCUUAAGAAGAAAGAUGAUGAAAUCGUACAAAGUAGAGCAACACUCGAAAGAUUUACAAACGCAACAACUAAAAACUCACUCUCAGAGCUUGAAAAACGCGAAAGGAGAGCAAUGGAACGCAAACUUUCCGAAAUGGAAGAAGAGUUAAAGCUAUUGCAGAAGCUAAAGACUGAGAAUGAGCGUUUGCGUGCGGAGAAUCGCGCUCUCACGCGUGUCGUAUCCAAGUUGACCACCUCAGCUCAAAGUCAACUAGCUAAAAAAUCAAAAUAAAUUUAAUAAAUUCCUGAAAAAAAUUAUAAAAAAUUAAUUAAUUGUGAAUUAUAUACGCUAUAGACUAAGGAAAUGAGUAGUUGAAAAUUUGUUCACGAAUUGCGAAAUAUGUCUAAAGAUAAGUGUUCAUUAAAGAAAAGAGAAAGAAGCGAAUGUGCUACAGUAUUUAAGCUCGCAUUAGACUGGAGUAUUUGCACUGACACAAUGCGAUCACAGCUGAUGGAAAUUAUCUGCAUUACCGUUAUAAUCAAAAGUAACUAAAUAGAAAAUAACAAACCGCAUAGUAAGCUGUAAACAGUUUGAAAAUAAAGGCUCGCAUAGUACCCAAAAUUUUGGUUGUCGUGUAAAAGUAAAGGACAGAACAAUUGCCGAUCGAAAAUUGAGAAAUCUCACUACGAAAUUGGUUUGAAACUUGGUUGGUUUGGAAUUUGCAGCAAUACAUCACUGAAUUAUUGAGCGAAUUCAGUAAUGAUUAUUGUACGCCUGGAGCACAAACGGAGUAAGCUAAGUGAGAGAGAGAGUAACACUUACUAUCAUCUAGUAAAGCAGUGAAUUAGCGUUCGAAAAGAGUUAAGCGGCAGUUUGUCACGUGCCAAGCUACAGUAUCGCCGCACUUUGCAGUUUUCAUUGCUCAACAAUUGCUCGUAUACUCAUAGUUAUACUACAUACAUACAUACAAUAUUUAAAAGAUUAUAGUAAUUUAAUAUCAUAACCGCACAAUAAUCGAAUAAAACUAGUUGAAAUGAUUAUAAAGUGUAUUUAAUUAAGUGGAAGGUUAUUUAAAAACAAAAUCGCUCAGCGCAUAGCAUUUGAAGUAACGUUGAAUUCUUUAGCAUGUAAAAAAAUACUGGAAAAUUAAUCGAAAUUCAUCUCGAAGGCAAAAAAAAAAAAAUAAAGCUUCGUCUCCAACAGACAACGCGUAGCACUUUUCAGCUUUGGUUUCAUACAAAAUUAUUUUCAUCUUUAAACAACAACAGUCUCGACGUUGACUAAAUUCGAGGGUUUCCACUUACUUCAAAAUACUUAAUUAAAAUUUAUCUCAAAGGAAGAAAAUCUUUAAACAACAACAGUCGCGACGUCGACUAAAUUCGAAAGUUUUGACUUGUGGUUCCACCUACUUCGCAUUUACGCCGCAAUUGGAAGUUUACAAAACGGAGAAUCAACGCCUUAAAGAGGAAAACGGAGCGCUAAUUAGAGUAAUUA
rnacentral:misc_RNA from 1 species